rnacentral:lncRNA from 1 species
CAUAGAAAACAAAAAAGGGGAAUUAUAUCCCUGUACACAUUAUUUAAAUCAUGUUUUUUAUUUUUAAAAAUUUUAAAUUUGGAUGCCAAGGAACUCUCUGCUGAGUGUCUAUGGCACCCUAUAACUAGGUAUACUCAUGCCUAGGUGAGAUGAAAGGAUCCACUUAUUGGCAUAUGGUAUGAUCCUGAUCAGGUAUUUAAUAUGGGAAAGAGGGCAUGUUUGUGUUUUUUUCCUCAGGAUGCUGCAGGAGUAUGCUAGCUGCCAGAGUGAUUGGUGAGACACUCUGAUGCUGGGACAAAGAAUGGUGCUGACCUGUGAGCUUGCUGAGCACCCUGACAAUGGUGACAAGAAAGCUGUAUUAGACAUAUGUUCUUGACCUACCUUUGCUUGUCGAUAUCACAGUUUGGACAAGCUGCCUUGCUUUAAACUUUUAGACCUUGUGGGACAGAGAACAUGGAGACUGUGGAAACGGACUUAGAAAAAUUAAUCAAGAGGAGAAGUUAUAAUAACUCUUCUCUUUCCUUUAAUGUGAUCAGUUAUUCUGACUCAGUCAUGGACUGGUCUAGAAAUCAAUACAAUACUGGAAAAAAGGAAAUGACAGUCUUCAUUUAGAGGGCUGGUUCUGGACAUUUUCAGAGACAUAUUUGGAAGUUAGCUGCAGUUCUUUAUGAAGUUACACUUGCAGUAGAUAAAAUUGGACAGGACCUGGAUUUCAGACAAAUGUUAGUGCAUGUGUUUAAGCUCCUAAUCUUUUAUUCCUUUAACAGGGAGGACUACAGCCCUCCUUGAAGAACGUUACCUUUAUAUAGAUCAUUCAGGAAUAGUGAAGGAUUCUAUGGGUAAAGUUCAAGAAGGACUAGCCAAAAGGAAAAGAGAAAAAGGACAGAAUCAGGGAUGGUUUGAACUCAGAUUCUCCACUUCCCCAUGGCUUACAUCUUUAAUUUCUACACUGCUUGGACCAUUAAUUAUAAUUUUGUUGCUUUUAACUUUUGCACCUUCACACAGGAUCGCUUUCAGCAAGCUCAGCUAUUCACCAUGGCAGUCAUUCAUCGCUAUGAAGAAAUACAUUGAGUGCCUAUUUAUAUGUCCUUUAUGGCUUUGGUCUGAAUGGGAAAGAGUGUGCUAUAGAAGGCUGGUAACCAGAGACAGGUAAGAGUGUUCUUGAGCUCCUCCUAUUGGCCUAAGACAGAGGCAUACAUCAAAAAGCUGUUUGUUUUCCCUGACAGUAGCAAUAUAGCCACUGACCUAAGAUAGGCACGGUCACCUAGCCAUCCUUUACAGGAUUAUGGAAAACAAGUAAAUCUUGUCCCCCUCUAUCCCUCGCCUCCAGCUCAUCCUUAAAAAACAAAAAAUGGGGAAUUGUGCCCUUCCCCCAGCCUUGAGUAGGCUAAAUAUAUCUUAAGUGCUUGCCACAGUUGGACCUUAAGGACCCAAGUGGAGUCUUUCCCCUUGCCACAUCUGCAAUUUCCUAUAGGACCCUUGAGGAACUGGUUGCCUGCUGAGCUUGCUUUGCAACAUAAUCCAGCUGCGCCAAAGGAUGGGGUCUGUGGGGUUUCCCUAUAUAAAUGCAGUGCUGAAUA